GCCCCUGUAGCAUAGUCGCUAUUGCGGCUGCCUCGUAAGCAGCAGGUCGCGUGUUCAAAUCACGCCAGGGGCU
rnacentral:tRNA from 1 species